rnacentral:rRNA from 2 species
GGGUUGUGAGGUUAAGCGACUAAGCGUACACGGUGGAUGCCCUGGCAGUCAGAGGCGAUGAAGGACGUGCUAAUCUGCGAUAAGCGUCGGUAAGGUGAUAUGAACCGUUAUAACCGGCGAUUUCCGAAUGGGGAAACCCAGUGUGAUUCGUCACACUAUCAUUAACUGAAUCCAUAGGUUAAUGAGGCGAACCGGGGGAACUGAAACAUCUAAGUACCCCGAGGAAAAGAAAUCAACCGAGAUUCCCCCAGUAGCGGCGAGCGAACGGGGAGCAGCCCAGAGCCUGAAUCAGUGUGUGUGUUAGUGGAAGCGUCUGGAAAGGCGCGCGAUACAGGGUGACAGCCCCGUACACAAAAAUGCACAUGCUGUGAGCUCGAUGAGUAGGGCGGGACACGUGGUAUCCUGUCUGAAUAUGGGGGGACCAUCCUCCAAGGCUAAAUACUCCUGACUGACCGAUAGUGAACCAGUACCGUGAGGGAAAGGCGAAAAGAACCCCGGCGAGGGGAGUGAAAAAGAACCUGAAACCGUGUACGUACAAGCAGUGGGAGCACGCUUAGGCGUGUGACUGCGUACCUUUUGUAUAAUGGGUCAGCGACUUAUAUUCUGUAGCAAGGUUAACCGAAUAGGGGAGCCGAAGGGAAACCGAGUCUUAACUGGGCGUUAAGUUGCAGGGUAUAGACCCGAAACCCGGUGAUCUAGCCAUGGGCAGGUUGAAGGUUGGGUAACACUAACUGGAGGACCGAACCGACUAAUGUUGAAAAAUUAGCGGAUGACUUGUGGCUGGGGGUGAAAGGCCAAUCAAACCGGGAGAUAGCUGGUUCUCCCCGAAAGCUAUUUAGGUAGCGCCUCGUGAAUUCAUCUCCGGGGGUAGAGCACUGUUUCGGCAAGGGGGUCAUCCCGACUUACCAACCCGAUGCAAACUGCGAAUACCGGAGAAUGUUAUCACGGGAGACACACGGCGGGUGCUAACGUCCGUCGUGAAGAGGGAAACAACCCAGACCGCCAGCUAAGGUCCCAAAGUCAUGGUUAAGUGGGAAACGAUGUGGGAAGGCCCAGACAGCCAGGAUGUUGGCUUAGAAGCAGCCAUCAUUUAAAGAAAGCGUAAUAGCUCACUGGUCGAGUCGGCCUGCGCGGAAGAUGUAACGGGGCUAAACCAUGCACCGAAGCUGCGGCAGCGACGCUUAUGCGUUGUUGGGUAGGGGAGCGUUCUGUAAGCCUGUGAAGGUGUGCUGUGAGGCAUGCUGGAGGUAUCAGAAGUGCGAAUGCUGACAUAAGUAACGAUAAAGCGGGUGAAAAGCCCGCUCGCCGGAAGACCAAGGGUUCCUGUCCAACGUUAAUCGGGGCAGGGUGAGUCGACCCCUAAGGCGAGGCCGAAAGGCGUAGUCGAUGGGAAACAGGUUAAUAUUCCUGUACUUGGUGUUACUGCGAAGGGGGGACGGAGAAGGCUAUGUUGGCCGGGCGACGGUUGUCCCGGUUUAAGCGUGUAGGCUGGUUUUCCAGGCAAAUCCGGAAAAUCAAGGCUGAGGCGUGAUGACGAGGCACUACGGUGCUGAAGCAACAAAUGCCCUGCUUCCAGGAAAAGCCUCUAAGCAUCAGGUAACAUCAAAUCGUACCCCAAACCGACACAGGUGGUCAGGUAGAGAAUACCAAGGCGCUUGAGAGAACUCGGGUGAAGGAACUAGGCAAAAUGGUGCCGUAACUUCGGGAGAAGGCACGCUGAUAUGUAGGUGAAGUCCCUCGCGGAUGGAGCUGAAAUCAGUCGAAGAUACCAGCUGGCUGCAACUGUUUAUUAAAAACACAGCACUGUGCAAACACGAAAGUGGACGUAUACGGUGUGACGCCUGCCCGGUGCCGGAAGGUUAAUUGAUGGGGUCAGCGCAAGCGAAGCUCUUGAUCGAAGCCCCGGUAAACGGCGGCCGUAACUAUAACGGUCCUAAGGUAGCGAAAUUCCUUGUCGGGUAAGUUCCGACCUGCACGAAUGGCGUAAUGAUGGCCAGGCUGUCUCCACCCGAGACUCAGUGAAAUUGAACUCGCUGUGAAGAUGCAGUGUACCCGCGGCAAGACGGAAAGACCCCGUGAACCUUUACUAUAGCUUGACACUGAACAUUGAGCCUUGAUGUGUAGGAUAGGUGGGAGGCUUAGAAGUGUGGACGCCAGUCUGCAUGGAGCCGACCUUGAAAUACCACCCUUUAAUGUUUGAUGUUCUAACGUUGACCCGUAAUCCGGGUUGCGGACAGUGUCUGGUGGGUAGUUUGACUGGGGCGGUCUCCUCCUAAAGAGUAACGGAGGAGCACGAAGGUUGGCUAAUCCUGGUCGGACAUCAGGAGGUUAGUGCAAUGGCAUAAGCCAGCUUGACUGCGAGCGUGACGGCGCGAGCAGGUGCGAAAGCAGGUCAUAGUGAUCCGGUGGUUCUGAAUGGAAGGGCCAUCGCUCAACGGAUAAAAGGUACUCCGGGGAUAACAGGCUGAUACCGCCCAAGAGUUCAUAUCGACGGCGGUGUUUGGCACCUCGAUGUCGGCUCAUCACAUCCUGGGGCUGAAGUAGGUCCCAAGGGUAUGGCUGUUCGCCAUUUAAAGUGGUACGCGAGCUGGGUUUAGAACGUCGUGAGACAGUUCGGUCCCUAUCUGCCGUGGGCGCUGGAGAACUGAGGGGGGCUGCUCCUAGUACGAGAGGACCGGAGUGGACGCAUCACUGGUGUUCGGGUUGUCAUGCCAAUGGCACUGCCCGGUAGCUAAAUGCGGAAGAGAUAAGUGCUGAAAGCAUCUAAGCACGAAACUUGCCCCGAGAUGAGUUCUCCCUGACUCCUUGAGAGUCCUGAAGGAACGUUGAAGACGACGACGUUGAUAGGCCGGGUGUGUAAGCGCAGCGAUGCGUUGAGCUAACCGGUACUAAUGAACCGUGAGGCUUAACCUUACAACGCCGAAGGUGUUU